AUACGGAGGCUGCAAGCGUUAUUCGGAAUCACUGGGCGUAAAGGACGCGUAGGCGGGUUGGCAAGUCAGAUGUGAAAUCCUACAGCUUAACUGUAGAACUGCAUUUGAAACUGCUAACCUAGAGUAUGGGAGGGGGAGAUGGAAUUAGUGGUGUAGGGGUAAAAUCCGUAGAUAUCACUAGGAAUACCGAAAGCGAAGGCGAUCUCCUGGAACAUAACUGACGCUAAGGCGUGAAAGCGUGGGGAGCAAACAGGAUUAGAAACCCCAGUAGUCC
rnacentral:rRNA from 1 species